rnacentral:rRNA from 1 species
AUUGAACGCUGGCGGCAUGCCUUACACAUGCAAGUCGAACGGCAGCACGGGAGCAAUCCUGGUGGCGAGUGGCGAACGGGUGAGUAAUAUAUCGGAACGUGCCCAGUCGUGGGGAUAACGUAGCGAAAGCUACGCUAAUACCGCAUACGAUCUAUGGAUGAAAGCGGGGGAUCGCAAGACCUCGCGCGAUUGGAGCGGCCGAUAUCAGAUUAGGUAGUUGGUGAGGUAAAGGCUCACCAAGCCGACGAUCUGUAGCUGGUCUGAGAGGACGACCAGCCACACUGGGACUGAGACACGGCCCAGACUCCUACGGAGGCAGCAGUGGGGAAUAAUUGGACAAUAGGGCGGCAAGACCUGAUCCAGCCAUGCCGCGUGUGUG